GGAUUAGAUACCCUGGUAGUCCACGCAGUAAACGAUGUGUGCUAGUUGUCGGGAUUUUAUUUCGGUGACGGAGCGAAAGUUUUAAGCACACCGCCUGGGGAGUACGGCCGCAAGGUUAAAACUCAAAGGAAUUGACGGGGACCCGCACAAGCGGUGGAGCAUGUUCUUUAAUUCGAAGCAACGCGAAGAACCUUACCUACACUUGACAUACUCGUCGGGACUUUCAGAGAUGAUUGUCUUCGGUUCGGCCGGACGAUGUACAGGUGCUGCAUGGCUGUCGUCAGCUCGUGCCG
rnacentral:rRNA from 1 species